rnacentral:rRNA from 1 species
AGUGAACGCUGGCGGUAGGCCUAACACAUGCAAGUCGAACGGCAGCACAGGAGAGCUUGCUCUCUGGGUGGCGAGUGGCGGACGGGUGAGGAAUACAUCGGAAUCUACUCUGUCGUGGGGGAUAACGUAGGGAAACUUACGCUAAUACCGCAUACGACCUACGGGUGAAAGCAGGGGACCUUCGGGCCUUGCGCGAUUGAAUGAGCCGAUGUCGGAUUAGCUAGUUGGCGGGGUAAAGGCCCACCAAGGCGACGAUCCGUAGCUGGUCUGAGAGGAUGAUCAGCCACACUGGAACUGAGACACGGUCCAGACUCCUACGGGAGGCAGCAGUGGGGAAUAUUGGGCAAUGGGCGCAAGCCUGAUCCAGGCAUACCGCGUGGGUGAAGAAGGCCUUCGGGUUGUAAAGCCCUUUUGUUGGGAAAGAAAUCCAGCUGGCUAAUACCCGGUUGGGAUGACGGUACCCAAAGAAUAAGCACCGGCUAACUUCGUGCCAGCAGCCGCCGCCG